GUCCGUGAGGACCGGGAAAGUGCCACAGAAAACAUACCGCCCGUUGGCGCGUUGCGCGUCGGCAGGUAAGGGUGAAAAGGUGCGGUAAGAGCGCACCGCGGCACGGGUGACCGUGCUGGCAGGGCAAACCCCACCGGGAGCAAAACCAAGCAGGAGGCCGUCCGCGUGGCGGCGACGUCGCGCGGCGCGAAUCGGCCCGAUUCGCUGUGACCUCCGGGUAGGUUGCUGGAGGCGGCGAGCAAUCGUCGUCCUAGAGAAAUGGCCGCCCUCGACAAAACCCGGCUUACCGGCCCACUUCGCCU
rnacentral:RNase_P_RNA from 1 species